AUCCAGCUGACGAGUCCCAGGUCAGACGAAAUGCGCGUCCUGGAU
rnacentral:hammerhead_ribozyme from 1 species